GAUAGCUCAGUUGGUAGAGCAUGAAACUCUUAAUCUCAGAGUUGUGGGUUUGAACCCCACAUCA